rnacentral:rRNA from 1 species
UACGUAUGUUCCAAGCAUUAUCCGGAUUUAUUGGGCGUAAAGCGAGCGCAGGCGGAAUGAUAAGUCUGAUGUGAAAGCCCACGGCUCAACCGUGGAACUGCAUCGGAAACUGUCAUUCUUGAGUGCAGAAAAGGAGAGUGGAACUCCAUGUGUAGCGGUGGAAUGCGUAGAUAUAUGGAAGAACACCAGUGGCGAAGGCGGCUUUCUGGACUGUAACUGACGUUGAGGCUCGAAAGCAUGGGGAGCGAACAGG